ACGCUGACACGUAGGUGAAGUGAUUUACUCAUGGAGCUGAAGUCAGUCGAAGAUACCAGCUGGCUGCAACUGUUUAUUAAAAACACAGCACUGUGCAAACACGAAAGUGGACGUAUACGGUGUGACGCCUGCCCGGUGCCGGAAGGUUAAUUGAUGGGGUCAGCGCAAGCGAAGCUCCUGAUCGAAGCCCCGGUAAACGGCGGCCGUAACUAUAACGGUCCUAAGGUAGCGAAAUUCCUUGUCGGGUAAGUUCCGACCUGCACGAAUGGCGUAAUGAUGGCCAGGCUGUCUCCACCCGAGACUCAGUGAAAUUGAACUCGCUGUGAAGAUGCAGUGUACCCGCGGCAAGACGGAAAGACCCCGUGAACCUUUACUAUAGCUUGACACUGAACAUUGAGCCUUGAUGUGUAGGAUAGGUGGGAGGCUUUGAAGUGUGGACGCCAGUCUGCAUGGAGCCGGCCUUGAAAUACCACCCUUUAAUGUUUGAUGUUCUAACGUGGACCCGUGAUCCGGGUUGCGGACAGUGUCUGGUGGGUAGUUUGACUGGGGCGGUCUCCUCCUAAAGAGUAACGGAGGAGCACGAAGGUUGGCUAAUCCUGGUCGGACAUCAGGAGGUUAGUGCAAUGGCAUAAGCCAGCUUGACUGCGAGCGUGACGGCGCGAGCAGGUGCGAAAGCAGGUCAUAGUGAUCCGGUGGUUCUGAAUGGAAGGGCCAUCGCUCAACGGAUAAAAGGUACUCCGGGGAUAACAGGCUGAUACCGCCCAAGAGUUCAUAUCGACGGCGGUGUUUGGCACCUCGAUGUCGGCUCAUCACAUCCUGGGGCUGAAGUAGGUCCCAAGGGUAUGGCUGUUCGCCAUUUAAAGUGGUACGCGAGCUGGGUUUAGAACGUCGUGAGACAGUUCGGUCCCUAUCUGCCGUGGGCGCUGGAGAACUGAGGGGGGCUGCUCCUAGUACGAGAGGACCGGAGUGGACGCAUCACUGGUGUUCGGGUUGUCAUGCCAAUGGCACUGCCCGGUAGCUAAAUGCGGAAGAGAUAAGUGCUGAAAGCAUCUAAGCACGAAACUUGCCCCGAGAUGAGUUCUCCCUGAGACUUUAGGUCUCCUGAAGGAACGUUGAAGACGACGACGUUGAUAGGCCGGGUGUGUAAGCGCAGCGAUGCGUUGAGCUAACCGGUACUAAUGAACCGUGAGGCUUAACCUU
rnacentral:rRNA from 1 species